AGAGUUUGAUCAUGGCUCAGGAUGAACGCUAGCGGCAGGCUUAAUACAUGCAAGUCGAACGGCAGCACAGUGGAGCUUGCUCCAUGGGUGGCGAGUGGCGGACGGGUGAGUAAUGCAUCGGGACCUGCCCAGACGUGGGGGAUAACGUAGGGAAACUUACGCUAAUACCGCAUACGUCCUACGGGAGAAAGCGGGGGAUCUUCGGACCUCGCGCGGUUGGAUGGACCGAUGUUCGAUUAGCUAGUUGGUGAGGUAAUGGCUCACCAGGCGACGAUCGAUAGCUGGUCUGAGAGGAUGAUCAGCC
rnacentral:rRNA from 1 species